UUCCUUGUCUGUUAACAAUUUUGAAAUAGUCUUUUUUUAGUUUGAUUAUUCUCCAUCUUAACAUUUAAACUACCAAAAAUCUCCUCCAUCUAGUGACCCGUAUGUUUUAGUUCAUAUAUGUGCUCCUGCGCAUCUAAUUCAAGUCACUGUGACUCACUUCCAGGCUCCUGCUGAUGAAACUGGACAUGUCAAAGCGAAGAAAAAGGUUUGAAACACUCAGGGCAGUUUUUAUGGCAUUGGAAGCUACAAAAUUGUGGCUUUAUAAUAAGACAAAAGUGAAACACAAGCAGAAGAAAAGGUGUUAAAAUGGGUUCAAAGCUUUAGCUGUAAAACACUCAGCAGCUUCAGCUUUCUGUGAUUCUUGCUUUCAUUUGUAACCUACAUGAGAAUGAUAUUUAAAUGUUUUUGUGACUAUGUACUAUGGAUGAUAAAAAACCCUGCCGAACCACCUGUGCAGAAGCUGUUUGCUACAGAACAUCUUGUCUGAACGGUUGGGUCACCAGGUGAUGCUGCUUGUCCUGCUGAUGCAGGUGGAAAAGGGUCAAUCGACCAAGAAGCUGCAAGCUCUGCUGCUGUUUUCCUCAUGAUCUGCUCUAAACAACGUUCUGUCUGUGAAGAAAUGAAGGGUGGGAGGGUUUUCCCUAAAAUUAGGGUCUAUUUGGUAGAAUAGUGUUGCCCACAAAGCUUCACCUUCCAUGUGAUCAGGCUUUAGAGCGCCCUCUGCUGAUCAGCACUGGUGCAGUUUCCUCUGCUCACUUGAAAGCAGCUCCACUGAACACAGCAUGGCUUUUCUCAUUCUGUCCGCUGUGUAAUUGGACCAUGACCCGCUUUGAGUGCAUGUGACCCGUGUCCAAUAAGCAGUGAGCCAAGUUAAACUAUCGCACCUGUUCACAUGUGGUCCUGCAUUCAGUGAAGUGGACGUCCUGGUUCUCUCACUUCUCUGUCCUCCUGCUGGCAGCAGAAAAGCUGCAGACGUUUGAUCUUCAUCACCUCUGAGGAGGACAUUGAGCGCAUGUCCAGGAGGUCAUUUAAUUUAUGCUCUGUAAACCAAACGUUUACUUUCAGGGUUUCUUCUGUCUUUGUAAGUCUGAUUAUUGUGCACCAAUUUAAGGUCAGUAAUGUCUGAGUAUGAUGAAAGGUGAAGUUCAGGCCCCAGGUCUUCUCUGAGCACACAUAAUCGCCGUCUUCAUGCCAUAAUGACUCACUGAUGGAUGGCCUAAUUACACUCAAAAACGUCCCGGUUUGAACUUGCCUCAUGUUGGAGCUUCAACCCAUAGAAAAAUGUGGAGGAAGAGGCGUCCAGACCGACAGCAGGAGACCCAGAAAUGACAGUCAGUUGCCUUUCUACCCAGAAACACAUCACAGUUUCAGGAAAAAGCUGGCGGCAAAAGGAGAAAUUGUUCUACACGUCAUUUCAACGCAUAUAUAUAUAUAUAGAUAUAGAUAUAUCUAUAUAUACUUCCAGAUCGUGAC